UGGGCAGGCCGGGCGGUCGCCUGAGGACAUGCCUCAGGAGGAAAGUCCGGGCUUCACAGGGCAGGAUGCCGGUUAACGGCCGGCUGGGGUAACCCACGGGAUAGCGCAACAGAAAAUAUGUGGCCGAUGGCCUCUAGGCAUAUAUGCUAAUAUGUGCCUAUCCUGAGGCACAGGUCAAUAGCGAACCGGCGGUGUAAGAGACCACCGGCCCUCUGGUAACAGCGGGCGCAAUGCAAGCCCCAUCCGAAGCAAGGCCAAGCGGAGAGCCAUGGACCGGCCCGGUCCGCUUUCGGGUAGGCCGCUGGAGGUAUGCGGUAACGCAUAUCCUAGAUAGAUGACCGCCAGGGGAUCAUAAUAGUCCUUCACAGAACCCGGCUUACAGGCCUGCCCGGCUU
rnacentral:RNase_P_RNA from 1 species